UACGAAGGGGGCUAGCGUUGCUCGGAAUCACUGGGCGUAAAGCGCACGUAGGCGGCUUGUUAAGUCAGGGGUGAAAUCCUGGAGCUCAACUCCAGAACUGCCUUUGAUACUGGCGAGCUUGAGUUCGGGAGAGGUGAGUGGAACUGCGAGUGUAGAGGUGAAAUUCGUAGAUAUUCGCAAGAACACCAGUGGCGAAGGCGGCCCACUGGUCCGGUACUGACGCUGAGGUGCGAAAGCGUGGGGAGCAAACAGG
rnacentral:rRNA from 1 species